GUGAUUUGUGCAGUGGGCCAGACCCUGACAGACCCUGCUCUCCCUCCUGCCCGUCCAUGGGGCCUGAGCAGGUCCCACAUUUACUCAGGUGGCCGAGUCCAACAAGACAGUUGCACCUGUUCUGAGUACCUGUUUCCCUCAAACUUUGAUCCUGAAGCAAAAUCUGAGCUGUAGAAGUUGUUGGUGCUGGGAUGGACGUGGUGACAGGAGCCCAGGGUGCUGCUGAAGUUUGGUGUGAAUUUUGGAGGUGGCCAUUGCUCCCUCACCAUCAAUCUGAGUCUCUGAUCAGCCUGGGCCCUGCACCACGGAGACCUCAGGGAUAAUUUGCAGCAGCAUCUUCUGGAGGUUAAUGGCAUGUUGUGGGAAGUGGUCAGUUUUAAAUUCA
rnacentral:lncRNA from 1 species